rnacentral:misc_RNA from 1 species
AAAGUGCGAAACGCAAUGCGAUUUGCAUGAACUGUGAGUCAUCUGGUUUUUGAACGCAACUUGCACUCUGUUUCGGCAGAGUAUGUCUGUCUGAGAACCGCAACCACAUGCCACCAAGGCUGGUGGCGAGUUGGGGGCAUGGGCGAUGCCGCAUCCCCUCGAAAGGCGGAGCAGGGCGUCGGCGAGUCAAAACAGGGCGGUGCCCGAUGUUGGUCGCAGAAGGUCUGGCGGCGGACGGGGCGUGGCCCGCGGUCUGCACGGUGUUGGUCUCAGAUCAGGCAGGACUACCCGCUGAACUUAA